rnacentral:tRNA from 1 species
GCCCAUGUAGCUCAGCGGCAGAGCGCGUCCUUGGUAAGGACGAGGUCUCCGGUUCAAUCCCGGACAUGGGCUCCA